rnacentral:rRNA from 1 species
UACGUAGGUGGCAAGCGUUGUCCGGAUUUACUGGGCGUAAAGGGCGUGCAGGCGGUCUGUUAAGUGCAGGGUGAAAGCUCCCGGCUCAACUGGGAGAGGUCCUUGCAUACUGGCGGACUUGAGGGGGGUAGAGGAAAGUGGAAUUCCCGGUGUAGUGGUGAUAUGCGUAGAUAUCGGGAGGAACACCAGUGGCGAAGGCGACUACCUGGCCUGUUCUUGACGCUGAGGCGCGAAAGCUAGGGGAGCAAACGGG